rnacentral:lncRNA from 1 species
GACUGGAUACAGCACUUCAGAUGUGAUCUCACAAGUGCCAAAUAGAGGGGAUUAAUCACUUCCCAUUGUCUGCUGGCUAUGAUCCUGUCAACAGAGCGUAAUAUGCAGGAAAUACUUAUGCAAAUCAGCACUCCAUAUAUGAAGAGUUAAGAUCAUAUCAUCUCUUGUUUAAGCUAAUCCAAAAGUAAAUGAGGAACUUAGGAAAAGAUUGCCAACUCCAAAUCAACACAGUUACACAGAAUUGAAAAAGAAGCAUACAGCUUCAUUUGAUGGGUUCUUGCAAGGAACUCAGUGUUCUGCGAUAUGAGCUCUGAAAUCUUCAAGCACAAACUGGACUCAAUGCCAGGUCAAACAAGUUCAGGAGAAGAAAUGGAGAACUGGUCAAAAGCAAUAAGGAGUGCUGUUUACCUGGGAAAGAAAGAAGACCUGGAUAUUGCAUGGGCAUGUAUGCAGAAGAAUCUACAUGAUAUGCAGAGAGGCAGAGUCCUCUUCACGCACAUGGCUCAAUUGAUUAGUGUCGGAAUUCCAUGUGUGCUGUGCUUCCAGCAUUGAACUCGCUGUGUGCUGGCUGUCAGAGAUCCCCUUGCAAAGUGGCAAGGGUAGUUGCAGGUUUCUCUGCACAGUAUAGGAGGUAGAAGAGAGGUUCAGAGGAUGAUCUUGCAUGAGUCAAACAUUGGAAGAGUGGCUAGUAACUGUUGAGCAACACUAAGUAUGGAAGAUGAAGAAAACAUUUUGCAUGGAAAAAGAGGGAAUAGUGUGCCGUGACUUUGAAGAUAAAAAGGAGCUAAUGAUAACUGAAAAAUCAUCAAAUACUGUCUGGUCUUUCCUGUAAAUAUAAUCACCCUUUCACGUGUAUAAAUUCUCAUCUGUCCUUUUUCCAUCCCAUUUUUUUCCUUGUACAUUUUGAAUGGUUAAAUACAGUGCAUUUCUCGCCAGGCUGCAUGCAGAAAGACUCCUCAUCAG